UAACGAACGAGACCUUAACCUGCUAAAUAGCCAGGCCGGCUUUCGCUGGUCGCCGGCUUCUUAGAGGGACUGUCAGCGUCUAGCUGACGGAAGUUUGAGGCAAUAACAGGUCUGUGAUGCCCUUAGAUGUUUUGGGCCGCACGGGGGGUACACUGGCAGAGCCAGGGAGGUUUUUUCCCUUGGCCGGAAGGUCUGGGUAAUCUUGUGAAACUCUGUCGUGCUGGGGAUAGAGCAUUGCAAUUAUUGCUCUUCAACGAGGAAUACCUAGUAAGCGUGAGUCAUCAGCUCGCGUUGAUUAC
rnacentral:rRNA from 1 species